rnacentral:rRNA from 1 species
CCUACGGGUGGCUGCAGUGGGGAAUAUUGCACAAUGGGCGCAAGCCUGAUGCAGCCAUGCCGCGUGUGUGAAGAAGGCCUUCGGGUUGUAAAGCACUUUCAGCGGGGAGGAAGGCGUUAAGGUUAAUAACCUUGGCGAUUGACGUUACCCGCAGAAGGAGCACCGGCUAACUCCGUGCCAGCAGCCGCGGUAAUACGGAGGGUGCAAGCGUUAAUCGGAAUUACUGGGCGUAAAGCGCACGCAGGCGGUCUGUCAAGUCGGAUGUGAAAUCCCCGGGCUCAACCUGGGAACUGCAUUCGAAAAUGGCAGGCUAGAGUCUUGUAGAGGGGGGUAGAAUUCCAGGUGUAGCGGUGAAAUGCGUAGAGAUCUGGAGGAAUACCGGUGGCGAAGGCGGCCCCCUGGACAAAGACUGACGCUCAGGUGCGAAAGCGUGGGGAGCAAACAGGAUUAGAUACCCUAGUAGUC